rnacentral:rRNA from 1 species
CCUACGGGGGGCAGCAGUGAGGAAUAUUGGUCAAUGGGCGUAAGCCUGAACCAGCCAAGUCGCGUGAGGGAUGAAGGUUCUAUGGAUCGUAAACCUCUUUUAUAAGGGAAUAAAGUGCGGGACGUGUCCCGUUUUGUAUGUACCUUAUGAAUAAGGAUCGGCUAACUCCGUGCCAGCAGCCGCGGUAAUACGGAGGAUCCGAGCGUUAUCCGGAUUUAUUGGGUUUAAAGGGUGCGCAGGCGGCCUGUUAAGUCAGCGGUAAAAGCCCGGGGCUCAACCCCGGCGAGCCGUUGAAACUGGCGGGG